UACGUAGGUGACAAGCGUUGUCCGGAUUUACUGGGCGUAAAGAGCGCGCAGGCGGUCGUUCAAGUCGAGUGUGAAAGCCCCCGGCUCAACUGGGGAGGGUCACUCGAUACUGAUCGACUCGAAGGCAGGAGAGGGUAGUGGAACUCCCGGUGUAGUGGUGGAAUGCGUAGAUAUCGGGAGGAACACCAGUGGCGAAGGCGACUACCUGGCCUGUUCUUGACGCUGAGGCGCGAAAGCUAGGGGAGCAAACGGG
rnacentral:rRNA from 1 species